CCUACGGGAGGCAGCAGUGGGGAAUUUUGCACAAUGGAGGAAACUCUGAUGCAGCGAUGCCGCGUGAGUGAAGAAGGCCUUUGGGUUGUAAAGCUCUUUUGUAGGGGAAGAUAAUGACUGUACCCUAAGAAUAAGGUCCGGCUAACUUCGUGCCAGCAGCCGCGGUAAUACGAAGGGACCUAGCGUAGUUCGGAAUUACUGGGCGUAAAGCGCGCGUAGGCCGUUGAGUUAGUUAAUUGUGAAAUCCCAAAGCUUAACUUUGGAACUGCAAUUAAAACUGCUCGACUAGAGUUUGAUAGAGGAAAGCGGAAUACAUAGUGUAGAGGUGAAAUUCGUAGAUAUUAUGUAGAACACCAGUUGCGAAGGCGGCUUUCUGGAUCAACACUGACGCUGAGGCGCGAAAGUAUGGGUAGCAAAGAGGAUUAGAUACCCUCGUAGUCCAUACCAUAAACGAUGAUUGCUAGAUGUUGGAAAUUUAUUUUCAGUAUCGCAGCUAACGCAUUAAGCAAUCCGCCUGGGGAGUACGACCGCAAGGUUAAACUCAAAUGAAUUGACGGCUGAGAGNGCGAGCGACACGAGGAGAG
rnacentral:rRNA from 1 species